rnacentral:tRNA from 1 species
GGGAGUAUAGCUCAGUGGUAGAGUGCUUGCCUAGAAUACUCAAGACCGUGGGUUCAAAUCCCACCACACACA